rnacentral:rRNA from 1 species
ACAUACGGCCAUAGGUAGUGGAAAAUUCAGGAUCCCGUCUGCUCUCCGUUAGACAAGCCACUGACCGGCAGAUUAGUAGUUGGGGUCGGUGAUGACCAGCGAACAACAGCUGUUGUAUGUU